GACGAACGCUGGCGGCGUGCCUAAUACAUGCAAGUCGAGCGAAUGGAUGGGAGCUUGCUCCCUGAAGUUAGCGGCGGACGGGUGAGUAACACGUGGGCAACCUGCCUGUAAGACUGGGAUAACUUCGGGAAACCGGAGCUAAUACCGGAUACAUUCUUUCUUCGCCUGAAGAGAGAUGGAAAGAUGGUUUCGGCUAUCACUUACAGAUGGGCCCGCGGCGCAUUGGCUAGUUGGUGAGGUAAGGGCUCACCAAGGCAACGAUGCGUAGCCGACCUGAGAGGGUGAUCGGCCACACUGGGACUGAGACACGGCCCAGACUCCUACGGGAGGCAGCAGUAGGGAAUCUUCCGCAAUGGACGAAAGUCUGACGGAGCAACGCCGCGUGAGCGAAGAAGGCCUUCGGGUCGUAAAGCUCUGUUGUUAGGGAAGAACAAGUACCAGAGUAACUGCUGGUACCUUGACGGUACCUAACCAGAAAGCCACGGCUAACUACGUGCCAGCCGCCGCCGUAACAC
rnacentral:rRNA from 1 species